rnacentral:misc_RNA from 1 species
GCAAGAGCUGCCUCAGGCUGCGAUCUUUUGAUUUUGUUUUUUAGAAGCAACGUCAAAAGAUCGCAGCCUGAGGCAGCUCCUAC